ensembl:lncRNA
AUCACAUUCAUCAAGGGAGUGUGUACAUGUACAUGAUAUACCUUGAUUCCUUUUUCUCCCAUUCCCCUUCCUACCCUUCAAUCUCCCCUCCCUCAUUUACAAAAGCUUUGUUUCCAUUUUUUCCUUCUUUUAUCAUUUUUUUCCCUUUUCCCUUCCUUUUUCCCCCCUCCCUCUUUCACAGUUUCCCAUUCCUUUUGAGCAGUUUCACCUGAUUUUAUACCUGAGGGCACUUUCCAAAACUGGGAACAGAGAGUUCAAAAAUGAGAUGUGGUCUCAUUGUACAAACAAAGCAAAUCUCAAUUUCAGAGUGUGGAAAGGACAGGAACUGCGAAGCGAGGGUACCAGAGAAGACAAGAAUAUUUUGAAAAAGAGCUCCAGAAAUCUCCAUGGAAUGCCCAAGAGCAAUUGUGUGAAACAGAACUUCCUGCAAUAGAAAUAUUUACAGCUUAUGCUGUCUACCAUUAUAGCCACCAGCAUCACGUGCUAUUGAGCACUUGAAAUGUAAUAAGUACAAAGGAGUAAAUAAUUUAUUUUAUGGGGCCGGGGAUUUAGCUCAGUGGUUUUGCUGCCUGUUGUGCAAGCACAAGGACCUGAGUUCAAUUCCUGUACCAAUAAUAAUAAUAAUAAUAAUAAUAAUAAUUUAUUUUGGCUGGACAUGGUGGUGCAUACUUGUAAUCUCAGCACUUAGAAGGCUGAGGCAAGGGGAUUGCCAUUAGUUCAAGGACAACCUGGGAUACAUAGUGAGUUCAAGCCUAGCCUGAACUACAUAGUGAGACCCUGUAUCAAAAAACAACAAAAAUAUUUUUUAAAUUUGUUUAAAUUAAAUUUAAAUGACUAUAACCUAUGGUUUGUGGCUAUCGUGUUAGCCAUUAAAAGCCCUUGAGUUAGACUAUUAGGAUACAAAUACAGCAAAAUUCUGUGAGGCCUGAAAUGAGCCUAUAAGCUGAAUAAAGACUAUAGAGUGGAAAUUUCAGGAGAUGUGGUUCUGACCAACCAUAGUGUAGUUCCCACUGAGCAAUCUAUACUUUCAGUUUAAACACAGAAAGCUUACUCUUAAAGAAUCGACUUCUGUAGCUCUAGAAAAGUUUUUAACCUUAGCAAUACUGACAAGUUUUGCAGACUCUCUAACCUUUUCACAUCAGAUACUGGUAGAAACCACACAUGUAUCACACAUGUUAACAAUCAAAAAUGUUCCCAAACAUUAACAAAAAUCCACUAAACAGCAGAAAUUAUCACUGGUUCACUAUUCUAGAGUAAUAGGUAAUGUAAAACUAUUCUAACAAAGACUAAAAUAAAUUAUCAACAGGAUCAAGUUACUCAUUAACAAAUUAGUUCCCUAAUGAACUAAAGAAAAAUACAGAUACAGUUUCAGAAAACUGUUGGGUCUGUGGCCUUGACUAUGGUUCUGAUCCUCUUCUAGAUUGGUCAGAAAGGACUUCAACUAACUGCAAAAAUCAGCAAUCUUGCUGUAAGAGGGACUCACAGUUCUAGUGCAAGCCUACAGCUUUAUGAGUUGAGAGAAAUCAGAAAUAACAGAAAAAUCAGAAAUAAUCUGCUAGCCAAAAGUCACAGUCUCAGUUGCUAGAGAGCAACAGAAUAGCUAAAAAUGUAUUAAGACCCUAGUAACAGAAGAGUCAUAAAGGUCUGAAAUGAGUUUUCCAAAGCUCCCUGGCUAACUCUGGAUAAUGCAUAUAGCACAUUGGAGACUCAAAGCAUGAAAAAAAAGUAAAAGCCAACAAAAACCUGAGAACUGGCUGCAAUGUUGAAUACAUCUCCCAUCCUAUGAAAAAGCAGAAGGUAGAAGGCUUGCAACCCAAAGUGUUUGAUAUAAAUUCAUGUCCAGGUCACUGACUGACUACAAAGCUAUUCAGGCACAGGGGCUAUCCCUGGAGAGCUAGGAUAAAAACUGAAAUAAACAAUUUUAAAAACUGACAAGAGAGGGCCGGGGAUUUAGCUCAGUGGCUCUGCCACCUGCCUCACAAGUGCAAGGUCCCAAGUUUGAUCCCUGGUACCAAAAAAAAAAGAAAAACUGACAAGAGAUAGCAAAUAACUCCACACCACAGGGGAGAUAAAAGUCCACAAUUUCAAUCCAGUCAAUUACAAAAUACUAAUAACAAAACCUCUUAGAUACAAAAUAGAAUCUGGAGUUGCUACAUUACCUGAAAUCUCUAGUUUGCAAACAAAAAUUGUUAGCAAAGAAACAGGUAUAUUUUAAAUAUAUUAAAGGAAAUGUAGUCAAUGAAAACUCAGUCUACACAUUGAAUAAG